GAUCCUGAAAUAUACAGUGGCGUAGUCCUCGAGGUUGGUGGAGUGAUUUGUCUGGUUGAUUCCUAUAACAAACGAUACUCUAGCCUGCUAAAUAGUACGCCAGUCCUCUGUUCCUGUGCUGGUGGCGUUUGGACGAAACUGCUCACUUCAGCUGACAACUUUCAGGCCGCGCAUUUCUCUGCGCGCCCCUCCCGGGGUGAGUGGUAUGCGUGCGUCUGGGGGCGUGGACUGCGGUAGAAGGGGUGAGCGGAGGGUUCUGCGCUAGCCUCCGGGUCCGACGCAGGUGUAUCUUCUUCUUAGGGGGACAAGCAUUACGAAUGUGCACGAAAUUGAACAAUAAGAGGUCUGUGAUGCCCUUAAAUGUUC
rnacentral:ncRNA from 1 species